rnacentral:rRNA from 1 species
GAAGAGAGGAGUGGAAUUCUCGGAGUAGCGGUUAAAUGCGUAGAUCUCGAGAGGAACACCAAUGGCGAAAGCAGCUCCUUGGUCCAUUUCUGACGCUGAGGCACGAAAGCGUGGGUAGCAAACAGGAUUAGAUACCCUGGUAGUCCACGCCGUAAACGAUGGUCACUGGAUGUUGGUUUUGUUUUACGCAAAAUCAGUAUCGUAGCUAACGCGUUAAGUGACCCGCCUGGGGAGUACGGUCGCAAGAUUAAAACUCAAAGGAAUUGACGGGGGUCCGCACAAGCGGUGGAACAUGUGGUUUAAUCCGAUACUACGCGAGGAACCUUACCUGGGUUUGACAUGUAUUUGACCGCCAUAGAGAUAUGGUUUUUUAAGCGUAAGCUUGAACAGAUACACAGGUGCUGCAUGGCUGUCGUCAGCUCGUGUCGUGAGAUGUUGGGUUAAGUCCUUUAACGAGCGCAACCCUUGCUGCCAGUUGCUAUUCUUUUAGAAGCACUCUGGUGGGACUGCCUAGGAAACUAGGAGGAAGGUGGGGAUGACGUCAAGUCCGCAUGGUCCUUAUGUCCAGGGCAACACACAUGUUACAAUGGGUAGUACAAAGCGUUGCGAUCCCGUGAGGGGGAGCUAAUCGCAUAAAGCUACUCUAAGUUCGGAUUGAAGGCUGCAAUUCGCCUUCAUGAAGCUGAAAUCGCUAGUAAUCGCAUAUCAGAACGAUGCGGUGAUACGUUCUCGGACAUUGUACACACCGCCCGUCACACCACGAAAGCUGUCUGCACCCGAAGUCGUUUUAGCUAACCGAAAGGAGGCGAGCGCC